rnacentral:rRNA from 1 species
AUUGAACGCUGGCGGCAGGCCUAACACAUGCAAGUCGAACGGUAACAGGAAGAAGCUUGCUUCUUUGCUGACGAGUGGCGGACGGGUGAGUAAUGUCUGGGAAACUGCCUGAUGGAGGGGGAUAACUACUGGAAACGGUAGCUAAUACCGCAUAACGUCGCAAGACCAAAGAGGGGGACCUUCGGGCCUCUUGCCAUCGGAUGUGCCCAGAUGGGAUUAGCUAGUAGGUGGGGUAACGGCUCACCUAGGCGACGAUCCCUAGCUGGUCUGAGAGGAUGACCAGCCAAAAUGGAACUGAGAACGGGCCCAGACCCCUAGGGGGGGGAGCAGGGGGGAAUAUUGCACAAUGGGGGAAAGCCUGAUGCAGCCAUGCCGGGGGUAUGAAGAAGGCUUUGGGGUUGAAAAGUAAUUUCAGGGGGGAGGAAGGGAGAAAAGUUAAUACCUUGGCUCAUUGACGUUACCCGCAGAAGAAGCACCGGCUAACUCCGU